rnacentral:rRNA from 1 species
CCUACGGGAGGCUGCAGUGAGGAAUAUUGGUCAAUGGACGCAAGUCUGAACCAGCCAAGCAGCGUGCAGGAUGACUGCUCUAUGAGUUGUAAACUGCUUUUGUACGAGGGUAAACGCAGGUACGCGUACCUUUCUGAAAGUAUUUUACGAAUAAGGAUCGGCUAACUCCGUGCCAGCAGCCGCGGUAAUACGGAGGAUUCGAGCGUUAUCCGGAUUUAUUGGGUUUAAAGGGUGCGUAGGUGGUUGGUUAAGUCAGUGGUGAAAUCCUGAGGCUCAACUUCGAAAUUGCACCUGAUACUGGCAGGCUAGAGAGUAGUUGAGGUAGGCGGAAUGAAUGGUGUAGCGGUGAAAUGCUUAGAUAUCAUACAGAACUCCGAUUGCGAAGGCAGCUUACCAAGCUGCUUCUGACGUUGAUGCACGAAAGCGUGGGUAGCAAACAGGAUUAGAUACCCCUGUAGUC